CUACCAUGCAAGUCGAGCGGUAACAGGAAUUAGCUUGCUAAUUUGCUGACGAGCGGCGGNACGGGUGNAGUAAUGCCUAGGGAACUGCCCAGUCGAGGGGGAUAACAGUUGGAAACGACUGCUAAUACCGCAUACGCCCUACGGGGGAAAAGAGGGGACCUUCGGGCCUUCUGCGAUUGGAUGUACCUAGGUGGGAUUAGCUAGUUGGUGAGGUAAUGGCUCACCAAGGCGACGAUCCCUAGCUGUUCUGAGAGGAUGAUCAGCCACACUGGGACUGAGACACGGCCCAGACUCCUACGGGAGGCAGCAGUGGGGAAUAUUGCACAAUGGGCGCAAGCCUGAUGCAGCCAUGCCGCGUGUGUGAAGAAGGCCUUCGGGUUGUAAAGCACUUUCAGCGAGGAGGAAAGCUUAAGCGUUAAUAGCGUUUAGGUGUGACGUUACUCGCAGAAGAAGGACCGGCUAACUUCGUGCCAGCAGCCGCGGUAAUACGAGGGGUCCAAGCG
rnacentral:rRNA from 1 species